AGCGAACGCUGGCGGCAGGCCUAACACAUGCAAGUCGAACGAACUCUUCGGAGUUAGUGGCGGACGGGUGAGUAACACGUGGGAACGUGCCUUUUGGUUCGGAAUAACUCAGGGAAACUUGUGCUAAUACCGAAUGUGCCCUUCGGGGGAAAGAUUUAUCGCCAUUAGAGCGGCCCGCGUCGGAUUAGCUAGUUGGUGAGGUAACGGCGCACCAAGGCGACGAUCAGUAGCUGGUCUGAGAGGAUGACCAGCCACACUGGGACUGAGACACGGCCCAGACUCCUACGGGAGGCAGCAGUGGGGAAUCUUGCGCAAUGGGCGAAAGCCUGACGCAGCCAUGCCGCGUGAAUGAUGAAGGUCUUAGGAUUGUAAAAUUCUUUCACCGGGGACGAUAAUGACGGUACCCGGAGAAGAAGCCCCGGCUAACUUCGUG
rnacentral:rRNA from 1 species